CUGGGAAAUGCCGUAGCCUACUUUCUAACUACCUCUAACCACACUGACCUGUUUGUGGAGUGCCUUUCCCUGAAACUCACUCUUGAGCCAGGGAAUACCCAUUUGUCCAUUCUCCUUCCAGAGCUAAAGAGUUCUUACUACUUCAUUUCAACUCAGUUGCUGAGGAUAGGGAGAGUUGGUUAAGGUCUUGAUAUGGGUAGAAGAGCUUUGUUAACACCCAAACAUCUAAAGACCUUGGAUGAGGGAGAUUCUUCUUCCUGAAAUGGAUAAACCCAGGCUCCAUUCAUGUGACAUACAGUCCAAUUCCCACAGUUUUUGCAGUUUCCCGGAGGCCAAUAUCUUUUUCCUACACCUUUAAAUGUAUGCAGGUUGGAGUAUAUCGUUUCACUGAGUAAGCCUUGAGAGGAGGCAUAGUUUCAAUAUAUUCACCCAUGUUGUGGAGACAUCGAGAUGCAGCUCCCAGGCAGGAUCAAUCAUGCCUCAGAUGUUCCUGGUAUCGUGGGAAUAACGAUCUUGUGGUAUCUUGCAAAGUGGAAAUUGAGGAUGGGAGACAAUUCUGCUUACCUGGGAGAUGGAUCCAAACAUGGACCGCAUCCUACCCUCCCAGGCAUCCAAACAAAGCAGCUCUAUUUUCUCCUGAUGGAAGUCCUUCAGAGAUGAAGAGGUGUCCUCUGUUACUGAGGCCAUGGCUUCUCUAAAGGUUCAUAAACGGCAAUGGAGAAGGAUACUACAGUGACAACCCCAUUACUUACGUGGGGUCAGGGUGCGUGGAGAGGAGAAUGAACACUUUAGUGGAUCCUUGCUGAUGGAAUGGGGAGAUGGUGGCAUUGAGAUAAUCGACUAUCCUCUGUGGAAGAUCCUACUGCAUUUCAAACUCAUUUGUAAAAGACUGCCGUUACAUUAAAAGAAGUUGUGCUUGCUAAUGGAA
ensembl:lncRNA AABR07017227.1